CGGGGUGAGUAACACGUGAGCAACCUGCCUUUAAGAGUGGGAUAACGGUCGGAAACGACCGCUAAUACCGCAUAAUAUACAUGAAUCGCAUGGUUUGUGUAUCAAAGAGUUUAUCGCUUAAAGAUGGGCUCGCGUCUGAUUAGCUGGUUGGUGAGGUAACGGCUCACCAAGGCGACGAUCAGUAGCCGUACUGAGAGGUAGAACGGCCACAUUGGGACUGAGACACGGCCCAGACUCCUACGGGAGGCAGCAG
rnacentral:rRNA from 1 species